AUUUAUAUAGUUUAAUACAAAACCUUAUAUUUUCAUUAUAAAAAUAAACUUUUUGUUUUAUAGAUU
rnacentral:tRNA from 1 species